rnacentral:rRNA from 1 species
UUGACCUCGGAUCAGGUAGGAAUACCCGCUGAACUUAAGCAUAUCAAUAAGCGGAGGAAAAGAAACCAACAGGGAUUGCCCUAGUAACGGCGAGUGAAGCGGCAACAGCUCAAAUUUGAAAUCUGGCCUCGGCCCGAGUUGUAAUUUGCAGAGGAUGCUUCUGGCGCGGUGCCUUCCGAGUUCCCUGGAACGGGACGCCACAGAGGGUGAGAGCCCCGUAUGGUCGGACACCAAGCCUGUGUGAAGCUCCUUCGACGAGUCGAGUAGUUUGGGAAUGCUGCUCUAAAUGGGAGGUAAAUCUCUUCUAAAGCUAAAUACCGGCCAGAGACCGAUAGCGCACAAGUAGAGUGAUCGAAAGAUGAAAAGCACCUUGAAAAGGGGGUUAAAUAGUACGUGAAAUUGUUGAAAGGGAAGCACUUGUGACCAGACUUGGGCCGGGCGGCUCAUCAGGGGUUCUCCCCUGUGCACUCCGCCCGGCACAGGCCAGCAUCGGUUUUCGCGGGGGGACAAGACCGCCGGGAACGUAGCACCCUCCGGGGUGUGUUAUAGCCCGGCGGACGAUACCCCCGCGGGGACCGAGGUCC